rnacentral:misc_RNA from 1 species
UCCCCGAUUUCCGGGGCAGUCUCCUUAGAGUUCCCGACAUUACUCGCUGGCAACUAAGGAUAGGGGUUGCGCUCGUUGCGGGACUUAACCCAACAUCUCACGACACGAGCUGACGACAGCUAUGCAGCACCUCCGUGGCGGCCCCCGAAGGGGAGACCCUAUUUCUAGGGCUGUCCACCACAGUUCAAGCCCAGGUAAGGUUCUUCGCGUUGCAUCGAAUUAAUCCACAUGCUCCGCCGCUUGCGCGGGCCCCCGUCAAUUCCUUUGAGUUUUAGCCUUGCGGCCAUACUCCCCAGGCGGGGCGCUUAAUGCGUUAGCUACGGCACGGAUCCCGUGGAAGGAAACCCACACCUAGCGCCCACCGUUUACGGCGUGGACUAC